UACGGAGGAUGCGAGCGUUAUCCGGAUUUAUUGGGUUUAAAGGGUGCGCAGGCGGCGUGUCAAGUCAGCGGUAAAAUGUCGGGGCUCAACCCCGGCCGGCCGUUGAAACUGGCGUGCUCGAGUUGGAGAGAAGUAUGCGGAAUUCGUGGUGUAGCGGUGAAAUGCAUAGAUAUCACGAAGAACCCCGAUUGCGAAGGCAGCAUACCGGCUCCAGACUGACGCCGAGGCACGAAAGCGUGGGGAGCAAACAGG
rnacentral:rRNA from 1 species